rnacentral:rRNA from 1 species
AGUGGCGAAAGGGUGAGUAAUGCAUGGGAACGUACCCCGGACACCGGGAUAACCACGGGCUUCGGCUCUUUAGCGAAAGUGUGGCUAAUACCGGAUGAUGUCUACGGAUCAAAGGUGGGGAUCUUCGGACCUGCCGGUCUGGGAGCGGCCCAUGUCCUAUCAGCUUGUUGGUGGGGUAAAGGCCUACCAAGGCGCCGACGGGUAGCGGGACUGAGAGGUUGGCCCGCCACAUCGGGACUGAGACACUGCCCGGACACCUACGGGUGGCUGCAGUAACGAAUAUUGGGCAAUGGGCGCAAGCCUGACCCAGCAAUGCCGCGUGCAGGAGGAAGCCCUUCGGGGUGUAAACUGCUGUCAGGGGUUAGCAAACAAAGGGCGUUAACAGCGUCCGGCGUUGAGCCGCCCCAAAGGAAGCCUCGACUAACUCUGUGCCAGCAGUCGCGGUAAGACAGAGGAGGCAAGCGUUGUUCGGAAUCAUUGGGCUUAAAGCGGGUGUAGGCGGCUCGGCAAGUGUCGUGUGAAAUCCAACGGCUCAACCGUUGAACUGCACGGCAAACUGCCUGGCUUGAGGUCGGUAGAGGUGCCUGGAACUCUUGGUGGAGCGGUGAAAUGCGUAGAUAUCAAGAGGAACGCCAGAGGCGAAAGCGGGGCACUGGGCCGAUUCUGACGCUGAGAUCCGAAAGCGUGGGGAGCAAACAGGAUUAGAUACCCUGGUAGUCCACGCCGUAAACGAUGCACACUA